rnacentral:rRNA from 1 species
GAUGAACGCUGGCGGCGUGCCUAAUACAUGCAAGUCGAGCGAACAGACGAGGAGCUUGCUCCUCUGACGUUAGCGGCGGACGGGUGAGUAACACGUGGAUAACCUACCUAUAAGACUGGGAUAACUUCGGGAAACCGGAGCUAAUACCGGAUAAUAUGUUGAAUCGCAUGGUUCAACAGUGAAAGACGGUCUUGCUGUCACUUAUAGAUGGAUCCGCGCUGCAUUAGCUAGUUGGUAAGGUAACGGCUUACCAAGGCAACGAUGCGUAGCCGACCUGAGAGGGUGAUCGGCCACACUGGAACUGAGACACGGUCCAGACUCCUACGGGAGGCAGCAGUAGGGAAUCUUCCGCAAUGGGCGAAAGCCUGACGGAGCAACGCCGCGUGAGUGAAGAAGGUCUUCGGAUCGUAAAACUCUGUUAUUAGGGAAGAACAAAUGUGUAAGUAACUAUGCACGUCUUGACGGUACCUAAUCAGAAAGCCACGGCUAACUACGUG